ACUCCUACGGGAGGCAGCAGUAGGGAAUCUUCCACAAUGGGCGAAAGCCUGAUGGAGCAAUGCCGCGUGAGUGAAGAAGGUUUUCGGAUCGUAAAACUCUGUUGUUGAAGAAGAACAUGCGUGAGAGUAACUGUUCACGUACUGACGGUAUUCAACCAGAAAGCCACGGCUAACUACGUGCCAGCAGCCGCGGUAAUACGUAGGUGGCAAGCGUUGUCCGGAUUUAUUGGGCGUAAAGAGAAUGUAGGCGGUUUAUUAAGUUUGAAGUGAAAGCCCUCGGCUCAACCGAGGAAGUGCUUCGAAAACUGGUAAACUUGAGUGCAGAAGAGGAAAGUGGAACUCCAUGUGUAGCGGUGGAAUGCGUAGAUAUAUGGAAGAACACCAGUGGCGAAGGCGGCUUUCUGGUCUGUAACUGACGCUGAGAUUCGAAAGCAUGGGUAGCAAACAGGAUUAGAUACCCUGGUAGGAUAGCGU
rnacentral:rRNA from 1 species